UAUACUAUGUCUUGGUGUUUUAAAACGUUCUAGGCAGCAUAAAGCAACAUCACAGGAGCAAGCGGCCAAGGAUCUGGAGGUCAGUACUUGUUGGUUCCUCCUACUCUAGUAGUGAUAGCAUCGGAUUCUGAGGUGUGGUUUGUCUGUUUCCUGGCCCCUGGUGGUGUUCCCAGUUUGCAAUACAUCAUUUUCUGUAGCCCUUGUACUUGUUGUGAUCCCUGUUUAUUUGUUCAGGGAAAACUUAGUGCAGUGUAUUAGAAAUAUAGAAACCUCAUAUUUCGAAGAGCAGAAUAGUGUUUGAUAACAGUUUUUUUUAAUGCAACAACGUUUGUUAGACUAUGUCCAGCGGCCAGCGGGUAGUGUAAAAUAGGUGACGCGGAACUAUAUGUGAUAUUGUUUGACACUAUUUGCAGAGAAUAGUUUAAAAUAGGGGGUGUGAGUGAUCUGCUGAAGAUAGCCUUAAGAGUUAAGAUACCAAGUUAUAGUUUAUCAUCUGCAAAAGAAAAGAAAAAAAGAGGGAAAUAAAAACCAUUGUUUAUGUUGGUUAGAGCUAGGUAAUUAUCUCUUGACCAGUGUAUUUCCAAACCUGUUCUUCUCAGUUUCUGUGCUCCGUCGAUACUGAACAUUGUUGUUCAUUUCUCAUUUGCUGAACCAUGGUAUUUCAGGAGCUAGAGAAGAGGAGAGAGGAGCUUGAGUCUCUGUUAACUGCUGAGCGGUCAGAGAUGGCCUGCUGUCGACCUACCAUCUCACUUCUGGUGUAAAUAAGUGUUUUUCCAUUCUCUGUUGAAUGUUGGUAGC
rnacentral:lncRNA from 1 species